CGGCAAAAGCUCAAAUUUGAAAUCUGGCUUCGGCCCGAGUUGUAAUUUGCAGAGGAAGCUUCGAGCAUGGCCUGGCCUAAGUUCCUUGGAACAGGACGUCAUAGAGGGUGAGAAUCCCGUAUGCGGCCAGGUGCCUACGCUCAUGUGAAGCUCCUUCGAC
rnacentral:rRNA from 1 species